AUUGAACGCUGGCGGCAUGCUUUACACAUGCAAGUCGAACGGUAACAGGCCGCAAGGUGCUGACGAGUGGCGAACGGGUGAGUAAUGCAUCGGAACGAGCCCAGUCGUGGGGGAUAACUACUCGAAAGAGUAGCUAAUACCGCAUACGAUCUAUGGAUGAAAGCGGGGGACCGUAAGGCCUCGCGCGAUUGGAGCGGCCGAUGUCAGAUUAGGUAGUUGGUGGGGUAAAGGCUCACCAAGCCAACGAUCUGUAGCUGGUCUGAGAGGACGACCAGCCACACUGGGACUGAGACACGGCCCAGACUCCUACGGGAGGCAGCAGUGGGGAAUUUUGGACAAUGGGCGCAAGCCUGAUCCAGCAAUGCCGCGUGCAGGAAGAAGGCCUUCGGGUUGUAAACUGCUUUUGUACGGAACGAAACGGCUCUGGUUAAUACCCGGGGCUAAUGACGGUACCGUAAGAAUAAGCACCGGCUAACUACGUG
rnacentral:rRNA from 1 species